rnacentral:rRNA from 1 species
AGUGAACGCUGGCGGUAGGCCUAACACAUGCAAGUCGAACGGCAGCACAGUAAGAGCUUGCUCUUACGGGUGGCGAGUGGCGGACGGGUGAGGAAUACAUCGGAAUCUACUUUUUCGUGGGGGAUAACGUAGGGAAACUUACGCUAAUACCGCAUACGACCUACGGGUGAAAGCAGGGGAUCUUCGGACCUUGCGCGAUUGAAUGAGCCGAUGUCGGAUUAGCUAGUUGGCGGGGUAAAGGCCCACCAAGGCGACGAUGCAUAGCCGGCCUGAGAGGGUGAUCAGCCACACUGGAACUGAGACACGGUCCAGACUCCUACGGGAGGCAGCAGUGGGGAAUAUUGGACAAUGGGCGCAAGCCUGAUCCAGCCAUACCGCGUGGGUGAAGAAGGCCUUCGGGUUGUAAAGCCCUUUUGUUGGGAAAGAAAAGCAGCAGGUUAAUACCCCGCUGUUCUGACGGUACCCAAAGAAUAAGCACCGGCUAACUUCGUG